UACGUAGGGACCAAGCGUUGUUCGGAUUUACUGGGCGUAAAGGGCGCGCAGGCGGCGCAUUUUGUCAGGCGUGAAAGCCCCGGGCUUAACCUGGGAACUGCGUUUGAUACGGAUGGGCUAGAGUUCGGGAGAGGAGAGUGGAAUUCCCAGUGUAGAGGUGAAAUUCGUAGAUAUUGGGAAGAACACCGGUGGCGAAGGCGGCUCUCUGGACCGAGACUGACGCUGAGGCGCGAAAGCCAGGGAGCGAACGGG
rnacentral:rRNA from 1 species